GGGGGACUCCAUCAUCAUCAAACAGAUUGUCAAAACCUCGAGAGCAGUCUGGCCCAAGCUGUUCCGCAGUUGCAACUAAUAUGGAAGGGGAAGCAUUAAUUACUGAUCCUCAUGCUGUCAGUAGUGUACAUGGAAUUCCAACUCCUGAAAUUUAUGAGUCACCAAAUUUAACUUCAGUACCAGUUAAGAUGAAGGAAGGUACUCACAUCCAGCUUUUAGAUAUCAACUUUCCACCCAGGGUUGCAAAAUUUU
rnacentral:misc_RNA from 1 species